rnacentral:lncRNA from 1 species
CAAGAAAUGAAAAAGAGUAAGUACAAAGCAUGAAGUCGCUAUGAAUAGUUGUCAGUAUCCUGCGCCAAUCUAAUGCCGUCUACUUUCGUACUAAUUACAGCUGUUCCUCAUUGAAACCCAUUUUUCACUCUCAAUUUUUUUUUUGUAUAACUCAUUACUUUACAUACAAACAAUAUUGUGGAUACUUCCCAUCAAAAGUACACACACGCAGUUAAGUUUCUACAACAUCGUGUAUGUAUGGCUAAGAGCACCCCCAUUGAGGGUUCAUGGGGGGAGUUCACACAAAAACCAAGAAAAAAAAUAAUAAAAUAAUUCAAUCUCAUGAACCCUCUCUCUCCUAAAGUUCUCUUGGUUGAACCCCUCUCUCCUAAAGUUCAUCACUGUAGCGCGGGCCCCACGUGUCGUGGCGGCCCGCGAUUGGUCUAACUUUUUUUUUUUUUUUUUUUUUUUUUUAAAAAAUCAAAAAGGAAAAGAAACAAAUUUUAAUAAUAAAAAACUAAAAAGAUGAACCCCAAGAGGGGGUUCAUUGAUGUGGAUGCUCUAAAGAGUAUAGUAUUAAAAAUGAUCGAAUAUUCGUUUCUUGGAGGUGUGAGAUGUGGCUCCUCUCUCUCUCUCGUUUAGUUUACACUUUACAGAAGGGGCUAUAGUGUCUUUUGCAUAUCAAACAAGAUAUUGGGUGGACUGCUUUUUACUGUUUAGGCGUUACCUUCCUGUUAUGACGACGACUUCCUCCAAACCCGGACGCGCUUUAUGGUUUAUGAGAUUAAUGUUUUUAUUAUGAACUUAAGAGGUUUUUUUUUGCUUUUGUUUUCUUUCAAACUAAAUGUUGUGUGUUAUAUAUUCCGUUUUAUCAUUCAUGAUUUUUUUUUUAACAAAUCACUCGUGAUCUAUUCACUAGGAUUUAUAAGUAAAAAAAUCUCAUUUGAAUGACAAAAUACGUAAUGAAGAAAAGAAAUACAUAGUGAAUCAGGUAUUGAGGUUUAAGGAUAUGAAAACCUAUCUUAAAAAAAACAAGGAAUUUAUGUUUAAAGGUAUAAUAAGUUCAUG